rnacentral:rRNA from 1 species
AGAGUUUGAUCCUGGCUCAGGAUUAACGCUAGCGGCAGGCCUAAUACAUGCAAGUCGAACGGUAACAGGUGUAGCAAUACAUGCUGACGAGUGGCGCACGGGUGCGUAACACGUAUGCAACCUACCUAUAACUGGGGAAUAGCCCUCCGAAAGGAGGAUUAACACCGCAUAACAUCAUUCUACGGCAUCGCGGAAUGAUCAAACCUCAGGGGGUUAUAGAUGGGCAUGCGUAACAUUAGCUAGUUGGUGAGGUAACGGCCCACCAAGGCUACGAUGUUUAGGGGGUCUGAGAGGAUGAUCCCCCACACUGGUACUGAGACACGGACCAGACUCCUACGGGAGGCAGCAGUAAGGAAUAUUGGACAAUGGGGGCAACCCUGAUCCAGCCAUGCCGCGUGAAGGAUGAAGGCCCUCUGGGUUGUAAACUUCUUUUGUACGGGAAUAAACCCCUCUACGUGUAGAGGGUUGAAUGUACCGUAAGAAUAAGGAUCGGCUAACUUCGUGCCAGCAGCCGCGGUAAUACGAAGGAUCCAAGCGUUAUCCGGAUUUAUUGGGUUUAAAGGGUGCGUAGGCGGGCUAUUAAGUCAGUGGUGAAAGCCUGCAGCUUAACUGCAGAAAUGCCAUUGAUACUGAUGGUCUUGAGUACACUUGAGGUGGGCGGAAUGUGUCAUGUAGCGGUGAAAUGCUUAGAUAUGACACAGAACACCGAUUGCGAAGGCAGCUCACUAAAUUGUAACUGACGCUGAGGCACGAAAGCGUGGGGAUCAAACAGGAUUAGAUACCCUAGUAGUCC